UUUACUAUCACACCCAUUUAAUCUGGAUGGGAUGAAGAUGAUUAAACAGCUCAAGGAAAGCCAACUAAAUCAGAGAGUUUGAUCGUAUGGAAGGAAAGCUUACUCAGCUCAACCAGCUCGUGGAGUAGCUCGAAUUAGCUAGCGGAGUAGUUCAACUGGCUUAAGAAGCUCAACUAGCAAAGUGAGUAACCCAGCUAGCUCCAAUAGUAGCUUUGUAUAUAAAUAAGUAACAAAGGUUUAAGAUCCUGUUUCAUUGUCUACAUAAUAAUAUACAUUGUUGUAGAGAACCUAUUUAUUUAUUUAAUUUACUUUAGAAACCAUACUAAUAAAUUAAAAAUGAACUUAUCUAACUAUAAGUUUAUAAUAAGUUAAUAACUACCCAAACAACCUCAUCAUAUUAGAUUUAGAGCGGUAGAGCAAACCUACUUUCUAGUUUCUUGAACAACAAAAAUAUCUGUUUUUCAAAACUGCAGCAAUCCUCAACUUUACUUUCACCAAAAAUCCGAAUUUAGAAUUUAUAAUGAUGAUCCUCCCUCAACUUCACCUGUAGUAAUCUGAAUUGUACCCCUCUUCAACUUCACAAUUCAAUUCCUAGAAUAAAUUCCUGCAAAAAAAACAAAACAAUUCUAUUGUUAGAUUUUAAUAAAAUCAUAAUUUUAUGUUAAACUCAAACUCAUAUUAUGUUUUACCAUCAGAGGAGCUCAUCAUAGGUUUCGAUGAAGGCGAUGAACGUCGUGAAGGAGUAUCGAUCCGUCCAUCUACU
rnacentral:lncRNA from 1 species